rnacentral:ncRNA from 1 species
AGAAAUGCAUCGAACAGGACAGGUCACAAAAGGAAACCGGAUUACAGAGAGCCGCUGAUGGUGAGAAGUGGCAGAAAGUAUUUUGUGAUAUCACCCGGGAGCAUCCCACUGAAUUUUGAGUAAGCUGGGACGUAGUCUUCACGUUACAGAAGAGACUGUUUACAGAGACAGUAACAAGAGAUCAUAUUUAGUAAUAGAUAUGGUAAUACAAAGUGGUACCACGGAACAUUCCGCCUUUGUU